ensembl:lincRNA
GAAAAUAAAGAGAGUAACACGUUUUGAAAUAUAGCUGUGAUAGUUUAAAAUACCAGUCUAUGUACUCUGUUAAAAUGGAGUAUCACCGCUGCUCUUCCCAGCACAAAAUGAGAAAGGCUUUUAAGAGAAGAGCGAAGAAGCGAGGGUCGCCUUUGGAAGGUCAAGAUGCAGAAACUGGACACUGCCAAGUAAUCUCACAGUGAACAGCACAAGCCCUGAGAGAGACUCGAGGUGCCUGUCAACCUUUCAGGUAUAGCACUGGUCGGUGACGAAUUUCUUUCCCACCAGAGUUCGUGGAAAAAUACAAGAAGCUCAUACAUUCAGUCUGCCCUCUUCCCGAAGGCGGUGAGCACAGGGCUCGCCGAGCCACGCCCACUCGGCUCUCCCCGGCACGUCCCGCCCCUUCCGUCUUCCACUUCCGGGCAACAGCGCGCCUUUGCGCCGCCUUCUCGGAAUCCGAUUGGCUGUUUCGUCAACCGCUAACCGCCGCGAAGUUUAAACAAGCCCCAGCCCGGGUCCGGGUGAGUUGUAGAGCUCCCCAGGCGUGUGGCGGUCCCCGAAGCAGACGGGGCGGUAGGUCGGCGCGGGUGAGGGCAGCCGGGCCGCCGUGUCCGCGGAGCCCGAGCCCUUCUCGGCCGGUUCCCUCGGCGCUGCAGUCCUCACCUCCGCGCUGCGGCUCGCAGGGUCUGGAGAGCUGGCGUGGGAUCCGGGCGGUAACCUCUGGUCUGCCUUUGAGUUCCCAGCUGGGCAAGGGGUCGAGCCACCAGCUUUAAUUCAGUGAUGGAGUACCCAGUGAUGGAAGUUAACCCUGUUACCUCAGGAAUUAAGAGACGAGUGAAAGACAGAAUUGGGAAGACAAAGUUGAAUGUUUCUCUUGCUUCAAAAAUCAAAACAAAAAUAUUAAACAAUUCUUCUAUUUUCAAGAUCUCACUAAAGCAUAACAACAGAGCAUUAGCUCAGGCUCUAAGUCGAGAGAAAGAGAAUUCUCGAAGAAUUACUACCGAAAAGAUGCUAUUACAAAAAGAAGUAGAGAAACUGAAUUUUGAGAAUACCUUUCUUCGCCUAAAGCUAAAUAACUUGAAUAAGAAGCUUAUAGAAAUAGAAUCACUUGUGAACAAUAAUUUGAUAACUGCAAUUGAAAUGAGCAGUCUUUCUGAGUUCCAUCAAAGUUCUUUUCUGUCAGCUAGCAAGAAGAAAAGGAUCAGUAAGCAAUGCAAGUCUGUACAUCUUCCAUUUGCAAGGGUUCCAUUAACUUCAGAAAAUGAGGAUGAUGAUGAUGGUAGUGAUGAUGAUGGUGAUAAAUGGAAAACAGAUUGUAACAUCAGAAUUACAUCAAAGACAGCUGAUACCACCUCUUCGGGAUCAAGACAAUCUUUUUCCUUACAUCAGUGUAAUUUGGAAGUAUUACUUCCUAAGAAAGAGAACCAGAAUACAUGUGACUCAGGUUAUUCAGAACAUACUUCUAGUGUUGAAGUUCUUCCUAAAGAGGGCCGUGAUGACUCAGAUCAAAGUCUUAAGAGUUCUCUGACUGAGAUGAAAACUGCCCCAUCUCCCAGCUUCAUAAGGGAAAAGCCAUCACUUAAUGUGACUGAGAGGAGGAAGCGUGGGUCUUCUACUGCAGAUAAUCUAUAUGUGACAGACUUUGAUUACCAACAGAUUACAAGUCCAGGAUUCAAUCGGAAUAAUAAGAUAAGUGGUUGUGCUAGUGAAACCAGAAGUAAUCUGCAAAAAAAUACACAGUGUCUUCCUGAUUUGCCUUCUAAGUCUGCCAGUAACCCUAAUGCAAAGCACAUGGAGACAGUACAGAAGACUGAUGACUUUCAGUUGCAAAACACUUUGUACGAAAACGCUGACAUGGAUUUAACUGCUAGUGAAGUAAGCAAAAUCAUUACCAUUUCAAAAAGCAAUAAAAAUCAAAGUAUGAAAAAGACAGAUUGUGGAAAGGAAACUUUUAGAAAAGUGAAAGAUGCAAGCUCUGAAAAAAAGAAAGAAAGAUCAAAGAGAAAAUGUAAAGGUAGUUCAGAAAUGGGUGCUGAGGGAAAAAUGGAAAACGGACCAGAAAGAGGCUCUGUGGUCCUAGAUGGCAGAGGGGACGCAGAAGAUCUAAAUUGUAUUCCCAGUACUGAACAGCUGCCUCAGGCGACCAUGCUGAAGAAAAUCACCCUCCAGAGCAGCUGGGAUCAAGGGAAUACACAAAAUACAAAGAGGAAUCGAACACGUAGGACAGGUGAGCAAGAGCAAGGCUCUUUCUCUCAAUGUGCAGUCAAACUCCUUCAAGAUAGCAAAUUUGAUCAGUGUCAGGACACCCUACAUUGUAAUAGAAAUAAGCCUUCUCGACAGACAUUUGUAAUUCAUAAAUCAGAAAAAGAUAACUUAUUUCCAAACCAAAAGGAUGAAGAGACCAGUAAUGAAAACCCAGAAGAUGCAAAUGAAUUUCAUAGAGCCAAUGUUUCUACCAAAGAUAAUGAAAAUGUAUGUGACUAUGAGACCAAGACUACAUUGGAUUUGGAAAAGUAUGUCAGUGCUCAGCAAAGUCAAUCAAAAAUAAAUAAGCCUAAACAGAAAAUAAAUCGGAGGACAAAAAUUAUUUCUAGUAUGAACCAAAUAUAUGAGGAUAAUGAUAAUGAUAAAGAUAUCCGUGUUCUAGAAAAGCAUAAUUUUCCCCUCCAAACCCAAGCGAAUAAAGAGACCACCUAUGGAAACGUAGAAGCUUCAAAAGAAUUUGAAGCACCUCCACUUUUCACAAGAAACAAUGAAAAUUUACAUGACUGUCAGACCCAGAAUGUUCUGGAUUUGCACAAGCAGAUUGCUAAUAUGCACCCUGCUCAAAAUGAGUCUCAAAUUAGCAAGAUCCCUAGGAAGAAGGUAAAUCGUAAAACAGAGAUAAUCUCAAUCUCUGUAGUGAAUCAUUUUAGUAAUGACAGAGGUGUUCAUUGUUCAGAAAAGGAUGAGUCUUUCUUACUUAAAAAGGAUAAAGACAUCCCUGAAACCUUGAAAGACUUAAGUAACUUUGAAGUGCCUGCUUUUUGUAACAAAGAUAGUGAAAAGUUAUGUGACUAUAAGACUCAAACACUCUUGGGGUUGAGAAAGGAUGACCAUAAUAUGCAACCUUCUUGUUACAAUGAUUUAAAAGUAGAUAAGAAGCCUAGACAAAAGGUACAUCGAAAGACAGAAAUAAUUUCUAAAACCAAGCAAAUACAUGAAAAUGAUGGAGAAAGUGUACAUGACCCAUUAAAUAAGAAGCUCUGUCAGAAGGUUGGUAAAUCAGAAAUUGUUUCUCAAAUGAACCAAAUACAUGAGAAUAUUAAUGAAGAUAUGAAUGGCUUUAAAAGCUAUAUCAAUGAUCAAGAUGUUAUGAGUUACUGUGGAGAAAUCAAUAAUAAUAAAGAGGAAAGCUGUGAUCCAAUUCCAGAUGCCUGUGUACUAGUUAAAAAACACAGGAAAAAAUUACCGGGUGGAGCCAAGAACAUAUUGACAGGUGGUAAGAAUAGGCAUAUUUUGCAGUUAACAGAUUCUUCACAGAAGUCUGUCGCCUUAGAAUCUGGAGUAUACCAUGACUCUGAGGGAACAGAUUCUGUUCCUGGAGAACUGACUAACCUGCCAAAGAGCCAGAGACAAAGCACUGUGAGCACACUGGAAGAUGCACUCUCCAUGGGUGUGGAAAAAGGAGAAAGCUGCCCAGCCAAAAGAGUUAAAAAAUUGACAUCCAAAUCAAAGAAAAGAAAGACCUCCAUAGAUCUUUCUUCAGAUACUCACGGGGUGGUGGAGAUAACAUCCAACACUGACCACAUACAACAGACUGAUAAGGAAAACUAUUUGGAGAAUGAGAAAAUUGCCAAGAGUAAAACAGACUUUUGCACAAAGGUAUUAAAACCUUUAUCUCAGAUAUGUUCAUCUAACAUAAAGAUUUCUUCCUUGAACGAUAUGUGUGAGAGUUCAGUGCCUUUGAGUAUUUGUUCCAGUAAAAAUCUGAUGAUGGAAGAAAAUGCUUCCCUGGAGAGUACAUGCAUCUUUCAAGUAGAUGAUGAUGCUUGUGAAAAGAUAAAAGAGAGGACUCAUAAAAGCUGUCGCACAACAGAGGCAUCGGGAAUAGAUAGAGGAACAUUCCAGGACAUGAUGGAUAGCAGUUCUGCUUCGAGUAACACUGAGAACGCGUCUGAAGGGCAGUCUGCACAGCUGAUGAGAAGGAAAAGACAGUGUGCCCCUCUCAACCUGAGAGAGCCGAACCUCGUAAGCAAGAUGAGAAGAUGAAGUAGACAAUGGGACCUAAUUGUUCUCAGUUCUCAAAGCACAGAUCAGAAGAGAAACGUAACUAGGACCAAGACAUGAAACAUGAAGAAUAUUCUGUUUGGUUUUCACAUGAAGAAGAGUUCUGUUGUUUUCUUUCUUUUUCAUUUUGGUGGGGGUGGAGAGGGUGGGGGGUGGUUUAUGGACUAUUGGUUUGUCUAUUCUUAAAUUGAGGUGUUUGUGCAUGAAGUAGCUGUAUUUCAAAUAGCAAACUUUCAAGAAGCAUUGGUUGCCUCAUAACUUAUUAAUUUAAAUUUCUAUAGAAUAUCAUUUAACCAUUCAACUAUUUUCCUUUUAAACAAAUAAAUACUUUUGCAUUGGUUAUCUCAUAUAUCAGGAUAUCUUGUUUUUUUGCUUUUGAGCCUUUUAGUAUACAUGAAGAUCAAAGAGGGUUUGAAAAUCAUCUUCUGUCCUAGCCUGUUGCCAUUCUGCUUUUAGAAUGAACACUUUUUUUUUUUUUAAAUCACUUCAGCUAUAUGUAAUCUUAUGGCUCAGGCAGUGGUAGCUGUGACAGUUAAUAUGAUCUCUGCC